AUCAGCCCCAUCGACAGAUGUAAGGAGAUCGCCCUGAGACAGCUGCACGCAGGGGCCCCAGGCCCCCCGACCCCAGUUUGCCUGGGUCCCCAUCAGAGGACAAGGACAGAACACCCUUGUGAGUUAGCAGGACAGAUGGGCAACCCCAAUAUACAAACAAGCUGAGGCCCUGAGCAGUACUGCAACUUCCCACAGCCCUUGACCUGGUCAUCAAGGAUUCCAGUGGGGACAGCCUUGUUCCAAAGCCUGGCAGGACCAAGGCUGGCGGUGGGAGGCCAUCAGGUACCCCAUGCUGGGCCUGCAUAUCCCAAAGGAAGAAGUGAUGAAGGACCAAGCGGGUCCUGAGGAUGCACCAGAGGCAAAGUGUCACAGGAGGGCAACCCAUGGGCCAGCCGCUGACAACACUAGAGGCCUGACUUGCAAGGCUUCAGCUCCCUCAACAAUGAGGUGAAGAUUAAAGUACCUGCCUCUCAGGGUAGAAGUGAGGAUCAAGGCCCUGGCCCCCGGCUCCGUGCAGGCAGUAGGUGGUCAAGGAAUUGUUUGAGCUGAUGGAGAGUACUUUAUAGGCUGCAACACACUAGACAAACAUUAGCUGUUACAAUUAGUCUACUCAACUUGCUUGGAUCGAGUCCCCCUCAAAUGAAAUAAACUCCCCCUGACUCCCUAGCUCUCCACUCCCAAACUGCAAACCUCUGUAACAUCCCCUCCUCUUCUCCAAACUUGGCUUUCCUUGCCUAUCCCAGGCACAGGCCUGGCAGGAAUUGACCAACUCCUGUUAGCUCCUGUCCCAGGCCUGGGAAAGUUCACAGGAUCAUGGACUGAGAGAUAAGGGGAAUGGCAGGAAGUGGGGGCAUCUCGGCCCUCCAAUCUCUUCCCCAUGGUUCUUUCCCCCAUCUCUGCUCCAACCUUUUCCCUCCCCAGGUUCCCAGGUCCCAAAGGGCAGCCCAGAGACUACCAGGUGGACACCACCAGGGGUGCAGGCUUGUUGGGCCUCUUCUUGCAUUUGCCUCCAGGUUUGGGGGAAAGUGAAGGGGUGUGUUUAUGUGUGUUUAGGGGGUGGAAGAGAGGACAGGGUGGCACUGGGCAUGCAUUUCCUUGUGCUGUGGAUAUCCCAAAAUGCCAUUUGUUUCCUUGCUUCUUCCAAAAAACACUUUCUGGGUACCUGCUCUGUACCACUGAAUAUCAAGAUCAGAGAUAAACAUUCUCCCUGCCUACAGAAGACACCUUCAGAAUGGAAGUAUGUCCAGGGACACACAAGCCAGCCUGGUGGGGAGGGACUUGGGAAAUGUUCCUAAAGUAGGGCAUAGCACAUGUGAAGUGUGAAACAGGGUGAUGCUGUGCAACACAUUUAGAGAACUUCAAAAAGUUCUAUGAAGCCAGGGGAAAAGAAGUUCAGGGCAGGUGGCAAGAAAUUAGUCUGGAGAGGUGAGCAGGGGCCAGAUCACAAAAGGAGUUGCAACUUUACCCUGGAAGCUAUGGGGAGCCACUGAAGAUGUUCAGGCAGGAUGGUGAGCUAUUCAGAUCUGUGCUUGAGAAAAAUUCUGUGGUAGGAGUGUGAGGAGGACUCAAAGGGAUGGGGAGGGACAGCCUCCUUAGGCACAGCUUGUCCCAGGCUAGAAAUCCUGAUAAGAGCUGGACUAUGUUGCUGGGAACAGAGAGAAAGAGAUGGACUGGAGAGUCAAAGGCUUUAAAGAAGAGUUGGCAAUUUGAAUGGGUGAAUGAGAAUGUGGGGACUUCAACAAUCUGGCUUAGAUGACUGAAUUAAGCUGUUCAACAAAAUAAGCAUGAACCAUCAGCACACAGGUCCUGAUGCCAUGGAUGAGUUUACCCAGAGGAGAGUGGAGAUUAAAAACACCGUGGACUGUGGCUGGGGUCCUGGGAACACUAUAUCUAAUAGGACAGCAGGAAGCCCAUCUGGAAGACAGAGAAAAGGCAGUAAUGCAGGUAGAAGGAGAAUCAGAAGUGUUGCCAGGGAUACCAUUGUUGGAGGGAGGGCCAGUGGAGAAGUCUAAUAGGGACAAAUAGGUAGCCUUUGGACUUGUCAAUGUGGUGGUCCCUGGCCACUAAUGGGCAGCACUGGGUGACCCCAAUUUGCAUGGCACAUGGUUUUCUCUGGGCAGGCACAGCUCUUGCAUAGGAGGAGACAGGACUGGAUGGACUGAUUCAGGGUUGGGAUUUUGCUGGGACUGCAGUGGGAGGACAUGGGCACAAGAAAAUGGUGAGUGAAUGUGUGAUGAAGUAAUGGAUAAAGGGCCUAGAUCUGUACUGGCUGGAUAGGAGUUUGGUGGCCAGAGUGGGAUAGAAGCAGGGUUUCUAUAAGUUACCCAUUUUAAAUGGAUGCUUUCAUGCCUUGAAAGAGGCUAUUUAUAGCAGGGCCAGUGAUCUGUAGUCUUUGCUUGGAGUUCUAAACUAGGAUGCUGGUGAAAAGGCCCUUCUCUCUGUGCCUCUCCAGGUCUGUAAAAUGAGGAUUGGACCAGAUGUUUCUUAAAAAGUCCUUCCAGCUUUUCUAUGCUGUUGUCCUAUUUAUGCCCUAUUUAUGUGUAACCUCUUCACACCUACCUAAGCAUAGUGGCCACAUACCCUCAAUAAAUGUUUGUUGAAUAUUGAAAGGUACCCUCUUAGACUCCUGGCAGUUCUAGGUUCAUCAUCAUGGCCCAACUUGUUGAUUGAGUGAUGGUGAACUCCUGAAAAGUCUGAUACCGUGAGGAAGUUCCUCCCUCUGACUCCCCAGGAAUCCUUCAGGCGAGGUGUUUGGGGACUAGAUGCAAAUCUGGUCCUCAUUCACCACCUCAUCUCCAGUCUCCAGUCCCAUCUAUCACCCCAAAGUGAUAUGAAGAGUACUGCCAAGUGGGUCAGAGGGAGGACUUUGGCAUUAGAUUCAUCAGAUUUGACUACAAUUUUCCAUUUAUCACCUGUGGCCUUGGAUCUGUUAUUUAACUUCUGUAUUGUCUUCUAAAAGUUUUAUGAUUCAUUUUUCACAUAUGUAAAUUCAUUUUCAUGUAUGGUGUAAAGUAAAGAAUCUAAGUUUUAUAUUUUCCAUUUGGCUAGUGGUUGUCCCAAUUCCAUUUACUGAAGAGCUCAUCCUUUGCCACCCAUGUGCAACAUCUCCUCCGGCUCUUACCAAGUUCCCACGUAUGCAUAGGUCUGCUUCUCGUCUCCUGUUUUCUUCUAUUUCCUAAUUUAUUUCUACCUAUCCAUUCCUGUUUAUCAUAUUGUUUUAAUUACUAUAGCUUUAUAUUAGGUCUUGAUACUGAUAGGACAAGAGGACCUCCCACUACUUGUAUUUUCAAAAUUGCCUUGGAACUUUAUGGUUUUUAGAAUUAGAAUAAGGGGAGAACUUAGCUUCCCUAAGCCC